rnacentral:rRNA from 1 species
GCCUAAUACAUGCAAGUCGAGCGCACUGGCCCAACAGAAAUGACGUGCUUACACUGAUUUGACGUUGGAUUCCCAGUGAGCGGCGGACGGGUGAGUAACACGUGGGCAACCUGCCCCAAAGCGGGGGAUAACAUUUGGAAACAGGUGCUAAUACCGCAUAACUUGGAAAACCACAUGGUUUUCCAAUAAAAGAUGGUUUCGGCUAUCACUUUGGGAUGGGCCCGCGGUGCAUUAGCUAGUUGGUAAGGUAACGGCUUACCAAGGCGAUGAUGCAUAGCCGAGUUGAGAGACUGAUCGGCCACAAUGGAACUGAGACACGGUCCAUACUCCUACGGGAGGCAGCAGUAGGGAAUCUUCCACAAUGGGCGCAAGCCUGAUGGAGCAACACCGCGUGAGUGAAGAAGGGUUUCGGCUCGUAAAACUCUGUUGUUGGAGAAGAACGUGCGUAAGAGUAACUGUUUACGCAGUGACGGUAUCCAACCAGAAAGUCACGGCUAACUACGUGCCAGCAGCCGCGGUAAUACGUAGGUGGCAAGCGUUAUCCGGAUUUAUUGGGCGUAAAGCGAGCGCAGGCGGUUGCUUAGGUCUGAUGUGAAAGCCUUCGGCUUAACCGAAGAAGUGCAUCGGAAACCGGGCGACUUGAGUGCAGAAGAGGACAGUGGAACUCCAUGUGUAGCGGUGGAAUGCGUAGAUAUAUGGAAGAACACCAGUGGCGAAGGCGGCUGUCUGGUCUGCAACUGACGCUGAGGC